GUGGCGGGGAAGUUUUGUGUCGCUAAGGUCGAAGCUGAAGUUGGUGAUAAAUUUGAUGAUGUCGACAAUGGCAGUCGAGGAAUUUCUUACUCCACCUUGAAUGAGGAUGCAGAGGAUUUUCCAGAAAGCCGGCCAAGCUGUUUGAAAGACCAGUGGUACAAAAGAGACAAGUCGGGAUUAUUUACCACUACAUCCUGCAAUCUGAAGCGCCGUAGCUACUGUGCCCCAGGAACGCCUGCAGCCAUGCAGCAAUCAAAACACUUGUGAUUUGAGGAAAAACAGCAGGAGGCUGUGAGAUCGCUGCAAGUUCUCUACAAAGUUCAUGCACAAGAUUUUACUGGUGCAAAGUUUCCAGAUGCUCUUCUUCUCCUCAGAGAACCCAAGGAAGGGCAAUAUUCAGGUACUCAGAAAAAAAAAUCACAUUGGUGGUUGUAGGUUUUUCUAUAGCUGACUUUUGUGUCUUUCUGCUUGUGUUUUUCUUUUAUAUGGGAGAAGUCAUUUAGAUUAGCUGAUUGUUGUUGAAUAGCCACUGUUUUUUAGUGCAAUUCUUACUGAUUCACAUGCUUGUGUUUGAAGCUCAACAAGUUGUUUUGAUGUCUAGCUGUCUAGAGGCAUGAAGUCUCUGCCUGCCAAGUGGUUGCUGAUUAAUUUUAUUGGCUAUUAUAGUAUACAUAUGCAACUAUGAACGUGUUCAGGGAAUGUAGAAUUAGGUUUUAUUUAGGUUAAUUAAUUACUUUCAAGUCUGAUUUGUACAUUUGAAGUAUUUUAUCUAUUUAAAUUUUAAUGUGCUUGUCUGGAUAUAUCAAUAUUUCUAAAAGAUCAUUUGAAAUUGCGUAUCAAAUCAUGUAGUUGCUCUUAAGGUGCAAGCCUUUCCCCUAAUAGCUGUGCAUGCAGAAAACUCAUUCAAUCCCCAAUUACACUAUGGUAAUGUAAGUCUCUCUUAAUUGUCCAUUAACAUAAUUAUCACAGGCAGUAAUUACCUUUCAAAGUAAUGGGCACCAAAAUGGCCCAGUAGCUGAAAUUUGAUAAGCGCUAUGCCUAAAUUAGACCCAUGAUGUUUUACCUGAGUUAUAAAAAUUCACUAGGGAGUGAUUAUACCACAAAAACAGAUAAUUAACAGCUUAAGCAACACAAUUUUGGCUUUAAAACAUCAAGCCUGGAAAAUAGAUUGAUAUGUCAGCUAAAACUCUGAUGAAACAAUGGGAAAAGGAAAGGCCAUUUUCUCUGAGCUGUUCCGAGUUUGAGAAAUGUAAAGAAAUUGGAGAAUAUUAAGAGAACAUAGUGGUAUCAAAUUUAGACAAAUAUUUUUAAGAUUGGAAGGAAAAAGAAAAGAGUCAUCCAAUAAUAACGACACAAAACAGACACAAGCGCACAAACUAUAAAGGACAACAAAGAGUAAGUCAAUGAGAGAAAUGAUGGGCCUUCAUAAUGACAACCUGAUAAACACUUGAGAUUCGGACAACUGCAUUCUGGCUGCUGUUCAUUGCCCCCCAUCCUGUAAUAAUCAUUAUGAACAACAUCAUAUAUUUACUUACCACAUGUGUGUGUAUGAACACAUAUGUUUUCAGCAAAAAAUAACUGAUGUGAUAAUGCUGUAAGAAUUGUGUGUGGAAUGGCAGGCUGAAAAGCAGCACAAUUUGUUCUUCAAGUUACAAGAGUGAAUGGCUGAUAUUUCAACUACUAUUAUUCUUGCAUUACCAUUAACCAUCUAUUGGCUUCCAGUGCCUUACUUGAUUUGCUUCCAUGUGCUUCUUGAAAUAGUUUUGUUUUUUUUUUUUUUUUUCCUCUCCUAUUUUGUCACCCCUGUAUCAUGUCUGUUGUUGACAUUUCUUGCCAAAUAAAUGUCUAUACUACCUC